GCUAUUGUGUUGGACAAGCCAACGUGGCAAAGAACUGAAGGCAGCUUGCAGCCAAUGGCCUACAAGGAACUGAAUCCUGCCAACAACCACAGCAAGAGCUUGGAGUAUAUGUUUCAACAUUUGAGCCUUGAGGUAACUACAGCUCUGCCAAAACUGUGAUUUCAGCCUUGUAAGAGGCCCUGAAGUAGAAGACCCAGCUAAACCUUGCCCAGAUUCCUGACCUACAGAAACUGUGAGCAGGAUUCCGCUUCCAUCAUCAGUGCUGAGGUUUGACUUUACCUUGGCCUUGCCCUAUCGAUGUUGUAAUCUCACUCUAAACUGCCUGAGGCUGGGAAUUUAUACUUCACUGUAUCACCAGCACAUGCCCCUCUCGUGCAGGUGAAUGAUGAUGAUGAGAUACGAGAUGAAGAACCGGAGGAUGUUCUUAUUCACCCACCUGGAAAAACGCUAUUUGUGACACCUCCCAGGUGGUAUCAAAAGAUGAGAAUGGGAAGGAGCUGAAAGGGGGGGGAGAGAAGGUGGGGCAGAUAUGGUCUCCCUCCCUACCCCAUACUAGCAGUGGGGUAGAAUUUAGUCUAGUUCCCCCAGGAGGGCUUUACCCACUCCAGGAGGUGCCAGUCCCUGCUGCAGAAGGGCCACUUCAGAUAAUUGAGUCCAUAAUCCGUUCCUGGUGUCUGAACACAUUUAAGAUCUUUACCAACAGAGAUCAGGUGAAAAAGGUCGAGAAAAAAAAAAAAAAAAGAAUGGAAAAGGGCCAGGCAAGAUUGAAAGGGGGAAAAGCUUUUUCAAAGAACUAUGAAAGCGCAGGAGCGGGAUAGCCAGUAGAGUAUUUGGUUGAUACCGGAGCAGGUUUCUUGGUAUUCACCCAGAAGCCUAAAGGGACUGCCUCCACCAGCAGUUCUUGGGUUGUCCGGAUGACUGGAAAAGAGGUGACUUUUUGUAGCCAAUAGACUGAAAUAAGAGAAACAGCUUUCCUGCCAGUUUUUAUACAAGCCCAAAUGCUCAGUCCCACUUUUUGAAAUGGGAUUUCCUAAGUAAAGUGCACGCUGAAAUCUCUUUUGAUGAAAAGGGCCUGUCCCUGACAGUACCGCCAACAAACACCUGGAAAGUGCAAACAGAUCUCUUAGCACUCCCCCAACCGGUACUAUCCCCAGCUACCAUCUCACCCAUGGUUCAAAGAGUGGUUGAUGCCAGGGCCCUGUGAGUUUGGGCCAGUGGCUGGCUAAGAUGAGCUUGGACUGUCUGCCCUGUGACUGCAGAGCUGUUACUCAACUUCUUGCCUCCUUGGAUUAAAGAAAUUGAGGCUCAACUGUGGCUGCAGAGACUGACCACCGGAUGCCUAGAGUGAGGACUGUUGUGGGAGUGCUGAUCCUCAUUCCACACUCCUGUUCUCCCGGUGAAGAAGACAUCGACUGGUGACAAAAACGAUGAGCGAUACCAUCAGGACCCGAGAUAAUUGAGCAAAACCCGGACACGUCCAGUGACCGAAACCGAAACCAGGAUGGCGUGAAGAGGCCUGCAAGGCGACAACAAUAAGCCACUUCGUCAUUAGGUCCCCCUCGAAGAAGAAUCAACAUUCCUGGGAAUUUCUAAACCCUGACCCUUUCCCUAUAAAGCCCUUUUGUAGUCCUCUUGGGGCAGACAGAAUGUGGGGAAAACUUUGCCCCCUGUGUCUCUUGAACACGGUGUUCAAUAAAGUCCUCUUGCUGCUUACCUCCUCCUGUCUCACUAUUGGCUUGCGGCAGGCGGCUUGAGUCCAGAAUUUGCGGUAACACUUCCAGUCGGCUAACAGUACAUCAACUACAGCUUUUGGGAAAAAUCAAAUUUAAGUUUAGUAAAGUGUUCAAAAUUAAACAUCGGAUGAAAUAUUUACUGGUGCGUGUAGAUUCUUUUGCAGGAUGGGCAGAGACUUUUCCCUGCCGGACCAAGACGGCUAGAGAGAGGUCAACAGGUUUUAACUGCCUUAAGAAUAAAGUGGAAACUCCACACAACAUGGAGACCUCAAUCUGUCGGAAAAGGGUGAAAGAAUGAAUCGGACCAUAAAAUGUCAUCUUAGUAAAUUGUGCCCUAGACUGACAGAUGUUCUGCCACUGGCCCUCCUCUAAGUUUGUACUGCAUCCUGGGGAAAACUUAAAAUUAGUGCUUUUGAGAUACUUUAUAAGAGACCAUAUUGUCUCCACCAACUGUCCCCGGGAUUCUUCACCCAGCCCCUAAUGUAACGAUGUCUAAAUAUUUGCUUUCUGUAACCAAAAUUCUUUCCCAGUUAUAUCAGAUAAAAGUUCCCUCAUGAAAUUGCUGUGACCAGGUGCUCCUCCGGAAGGACCUCCUGUUACAAGCUAAGUGGACUGGACCCUUUACCACACCACUCAGCACUGACACAGUUGGGAAGCUUGCAGGAGUCAAGCCGUGGAUCCAUCAUUCCAAGUCAAGCCCUGCCCGGUCUACAGUGACAAGGAGUAGAAAGACCAG